rnacentral:rRNA from 1 species
GAUGAACGCUAGCGGCAGGCUUAAUACAUGCAAGUCGAGGGGCAGCGCAGUGUAGCAAUACAUGGGCGGCGACCGGCAAACGGGUGCGGAACACGUACGCAAUCUACCAAAAACUGAUGAAUAGCCCUCCGAAAGGAGGAUUAAUACAUCGUAACCUAUUGAAGUGGCAUCACUUUAAUAGUAUUGCUCCGGCGGUUUUGGAUGAGCGUGCGGCUGAUUAGGUAGUUGGCAGGGUAACGGCCUACCAAGCCUACGAUCAGUAACUGGUGGGAGAGCACGACCAGUCACACGGGCACUGAGACACGGGCCCGACUCCUACGGGAGGCAGCAGUAAGGAAUAUUGGUCAAUGGACGCAAGUCUGAACCAGCCAUGCCGCGUGAAGGAUGAAGGUCCUCUGGAUUGUAAACUUCUUUUAUAGGGGAAGAAACCGGAAUUUUCUUGUUCCGUUGACGGUACCCUGGGAAUAAGCACCGGCUAACUCCGUGCCAGCCGCCGCCGUAAGAC